rnacentral:misc_RNA from 1 species
UCGUGGGGCUCCGGCCCUGUCGAGAUAGAACCCUUGCCUUUUGAGUACCGUCUGUUUCCUCGGCAGGCCCGCCUGCCAAUGGGGACCCCAAUAAACCCUUCUCUGUACCUGUAUCAGUCUGAAAAACAAACAAAAGUUA